UCCAGCAGCCUGGCUGUUUCGUUCAAGGAAGUGGUCAUUCUGCCUCUUCCCUUUCCCUUCUCCACAGUGCUUUCCCAGCAAACAAAUUCUUGAAGCAGUUUUGACAACCCACCUACAGGUUUGGAAUUGAUAUAUCACAAAGUAUAAAAUGCUUGAAUAUCACCAUAGCACUUUCUAGAAAGUUUUACUCUGGACAACAUUUACUAUUUGUAGUAAGCAGAAUAACGGACACCACCACCGCUCUAAUUAGCCUCACCUAGUCCUUGGAACCUGGGAAUAUGUCACCUUACCUGGCAAAGUGGUCUUUGCAGAUGUGAGUCAGGGUAUGGACCUGGGAGGAGAGUAUCCUGCCUUCUCCAGCUGGGUCCAAUGUACUCACAUGAAUCUUUAGAAGUGUGGGACUCUUUCCUGAUGCUUCAGCGACAGGAGAUGGAAGAAGAAGAGAUUCAAAGUGAGAGGGACUUGGUCCACAUUACUGGAUUUGAAGAUGGAGGAAGGGGGCUCUGGGCCAAGGAUUAUAGCAACUUCUAGAAGCUGGGAACCGCCCUUACCUGACAGCCAUCAAGAAAAUGACGAUCUCAGUCCAAUGACCCAAAGGAACUGAAUUCUGCCAACAAGCCAAAUGAUCAGGAAAAUUGAUCUUCCUCUAAAGCUUCUAGGAAUUAACACAGCUCUGCCAAUGUCUUGAUUUUAGUGUGAUGAGACCCAAGGCCUACCUCCAACUCCAGCACUGUAAUUUUUAUGUUGUUUAAGCCACUAAUUUUGUGCUAAUUUAUUAUGACAGUGGUAGAAAACUAAUACAUUAUUCUUUAAAAAUGUACGAUGCUUUGUUAAUAAAAUAUUAUCAUGUAUAUAGGCAAAACUAACCUAUAGUGAUAGGAUUCAGCCUAGAGGCUCCCUUUCAUAGAUAUGAACUGGCAGGAGCAUAUGAGGGCAAAAGGGAGGCUCUGGGGUUGGAAAAGUUCUACAAAUGUUGAUCUGGGUGGUGGAUGUGUGGAAUGCAUACAUGUAUAAAAAUGACUUACCUGUAUUGCACUUUAUGGUAGGAGAGUAUUACCUCGAUAAGAAAGAAGUAAAGAGAAAUCAUUCCAGCA